rnacentral:rRNA from 1 species
UACGUAGGAGGCGAGCGUUGUCCGGAAUUACUGGGUGUAAAGCGCGUGUAGGUGGCAGGCCAAGUCUGUGGUGAAAUCGCCCGGCUCAACUGGGCGGGGUCCAUGGAAACUGGUCAGCUGGAGGACGGUAGAGGCGAGUGGAAUUCCCGGUGUAGUGGUGAAAUGCGUAGAUAUCGGGAGGAACACCAGUGGCGAAGGCGGCACUCUGGGCCGGUACUGACGCUGAGGAGCGAAAGCGUGGGGAGCGAACAGG